CCUACGGGGGGCAGCAGUGGGGAAUAUUGGACAAUGGGGGGAACCCUGAUCCAGCCAUGCCGCGUGUGUGAAGAAGGCCCUCGGGUUGUAAAGCACUUUCAGUGAGGAAGAACGCCUGGUGGUUAAUACCCAUCAGGAAAGACAUCACUCACAGAAGAAGCACCGGCUAACUCCGUGCCAGCAGCCGCGGUAAUACGGAGGGUGCGAGCGUUAAUCGGAAUUACUGGGCGUAAAGCGCGCGUAGGUGGCUUGAUAAGCCGGUUGUGAAAGCCCCGGGCUCAACCUGGGAACGGCAUCCGGGACUGUCAAGCUAGAGUGCAGGAGAGGAAGGUAGAAUUCCCGGUGUAGCGGUGAAAGGCGUAGAGAUCGGGAGGAAUACCAGUGGCGAAGGCGGCCUUCUGGACUGACACUGACACUGAGGUGCGAAAGCGUGGGUAGCAAACAGGAUUAGAUACCCGUGUAGUC
rnacentral:rRNA from 1 species